AGUUUACAACAGCUAUAAUAGCACAAAUACACACACACACACACCCAUUUAAUAUUGCAGAUCACCAGCUAACUGAAAUUUUUAUUGAUUGUCUGCCUAAGCCCGAAAGGUUUUCAGCAAAUGUGCACAAGUUAAUAAUAGAGUGUCCUGCUGUAUAUUAUGCACCUGGAUCCCAGUUUCUGGAAACUGCAGGAGGGGAGAGUGCUGGUUGGCCACUGCAGGAUGCUGGAGCAGGUAGACUGCUUGCCUGAUCCUGUGAGUCUCUCUUCCUUUAUUUUAGAAGGCGCCUGCUGAAAUCUCUGUUGGACGAUCAUUGCACUGGGCAAGAGUGCUUCAUGUCACUGUCAAAUGAGCCACACCAGCUUAGGGAGCAUGGACAAGCAGCGACGAUCCUGCAGAAGGUCUUGGGGAUUAAGCUAGGAUAGAAAUGGUAAAGGUAAAGGACCCCUGACAGUUAAAUCCAG